rnacentral:rRNA from 1 species
GAUCAACGCUGACAGAAUGCUUAACACAUGCAAGUCGAUGAUGGGAGCUAGCUUGCUAGAAGAAGUCAUGGCGGACGGGUGAGUAACGUGUAAAGAACUUACCAUAUAGACUGGGAUAACAGAGGGAAACUUCUGAUAAUACUGGAUAAGUUAGUAGUAGCAUUACUAAGUAAUGAAAGGUAGCAAUACGCUAUAUGAGAGCUUUGCAUCCUAUUAGCUAGUUGGUGGGGUAAAAGCCUACCAAGGCGAUGAUAGGUAGCCGGCCUGAGAGGGUGGACAGCCACAAGGGGACUGAGAUACGGCACUUACUCCUACGGGGGGCAGCAGUGGGGAAUAUUGGACAAUGGAGGCAACUCUGAUCCAGCAAUUCUGUGUGUGUGAAGAAGGUUUUAGGACUGUAAAACACUUUUAGUAGGGAAGAAAGAAAUGACGGUACCUACAGAAGAAGCGACGGCUAAAUACGUG